rnacentral:tRNA from 1 species
UAGAGUAUGGUGUAAUGUGGUAGCACGAAGAUUUUUGAAGUCUUAAGAACAGGUUCGAGUCCUGUAAUUCUAG